rnacentral:rRNA from 1 species
AUUGAACGCUGGCGGCAGGCCUAACACAUGCAAGUCGAGCGGAGCGGCGGUCGGGUGAGUAAUGCCUAGGUAUCUGCCUGGUAGUGGGGGAUAACGUCCGGAAAAGGGCGCUAAUACCGCAUACUAUCAGAAGAGUCUCGGUCGGAUUAGCUAGUGGGUGGGGUAAAGGCCUACGAAGGCGACGAUCCGUAACUGGUCUGAGAGGAGGAUCAGGCACACUGGAACUGAGACACGGUCCAGACUCCUACGGGAGGCAGCAGUGGGGAUGAUUGGACAAUGGGCGAAAGCCUGAUCCAGCCAUGCCGCGUGUGUGAAGAAGGUCUUCGGAUUGUAAAGCACUUUAAGUUGGGAGGCGUUACCAACAGAAGAAGCACCGGCUAACUUCGUGCCAGCAGCCGCGGUAAUUC